UUGGAGAAGGCAUAAGGUUUUCUUAUGAGGGAAUUUUGUGUCAGGGGGAAGUGCCCCUGGUUUUAGAGGAGGGUUACAACCACACGAAUGUGAGUGUUUCUAAGAUGUAGAAGAUUGGGGAGUCGUGAAUGUGUAUUUGUGACAAUAGUUGCCCCAAUUCUGAUCCCAGUAUCAUCUAAUACUGAUACUGGUUCUGGCAGUAGCAGUGGUAUUUGUCUCUGAUAUCACCUCAGUGCACACUCAGUUUCACACUUAUAUGUAGUGUCCUGGGAAAAGGCAAAUAUUUAAGUUUUAGUAUUGGUAACAGGGUCUGCUUUGUCUAAUGCAGACAGAUGUAGUCAUACAGUGACUUUUUGUAUUGGAAGAAAUGUGUCAUUACACAAGAAGUUUUGAUUUCAUGUCCUUUAAUACUGAUAUAACUUUGGUGUUUGUUAAAUUCAGGGUUGAAAAAAAAGAGAAAUUUGACAGCCAAGACUUGUUAUAAACUAUGAGCUGAAUUUGGAGUUGCGGGUCUAGGUUGGCCUGGGUUGCUGGAAGGAUUUAAAGUGACGUGUGAUGCAUGUAAAUUGAUUAGUAACAGGAGGAGGGGGUUGCUGGUGGAGAUUGGAACAAUGUCCUGCUCUAGGCAAAGGAUUAGAUUAAAAAAAAAAAAGAAAACAGGAUUCAGUUUGGAAAGUCCCUGUACAGUUUUAGACUGAGAGUGGGACCGAUUUGAAUCUGAAUCCCCUGUCUCUGUAUGAGUUUAACUCGUAUAACAAGGGAUGAACUGUUGAGAUCAUGUGGAUAGGAAGUGGCACAUGGAUCUGUAACCAAUGCUGUAAUACCUUCUGGACUAACUAACAGGCUGCUCUGGAAGCCGUGUGUAUCUCCUCUGACACAGAAUGCUGUCGGACUUGAUCUGCAGCUCUGUUGGCGACUUCUUGACAAGCAGCAAGGAGGAAGACGAAGGGGUUGGCCAGGAUCUGUUUCCUCAUAGUGCUGUGUGUUUGGUGUGUGUAUGUGUGUGUAUUUCCCUGCAGCUCUUUCAUUGCGCUGACUUUGUUAGAGUCAUGGUACGUGUACAUACCUGUGCUUUCUUGUUUUAGAGUCUUUCAGAAAUCUUUCUGCUGAAAUUCUGGGCCAAAUGAUUCACAUAUCUGAAUAUUUGAACACACAGCUCAAACUUGUGUCACGAGGUGUACCAAAAAUCUAUUUUUCCACCUCCUUUAGUACACUCACAUACUUCUCUCCUUUUAGGUCUCACAGUUACAACCUAACUACACAAAACAGAGUAUAUAUUUUUUGGAUAAACAUUAAUAUAGUAAGUAAGCGUUAGAUGAAAAUAGGGUGCAGAAAAUAUAUUAAUCAGUAUAUAAAUUCUUCCUCACUGUUUAUAUUAGGAUUGUUAACUAAACUUACUGGAUGGUCAGUAAACUGAAACAGACUUAAUCGUAUUUAAUCAAUUCAGUCUUGUAAAAAUCGUCCCUUUAUAUACAGAGCACGAAUAUUUUGUGUAUUUCUGAGAAUACAUGAAUAAAAAAAGUAGUAUAAAAAGUAGUAAAUUUAUCAACAGAGUUUCAACAGUCUGCAGAUUAACCAAAAGUAAAAAGGAAAUGAAUUGGCCGCUAGUUUGCUGACUGUACUUGAUUGAACUGUUUUUACUCCCCCCAAAGAUUCAGACUAAGCCUUAAGAAAUUUUCCUUAAGACUUUUAUUAGUUCUGACUUUUCAUAGACUAAACAGUGUUUGCUUGAACUGUGAAAAUGGUUGAUGACCUACUUAAAGAAAAAGGUUAUCAUUACUCCUCUAUAAAACUAAAACUUGCUUUGUAUCUGUUAAACCAAGGUAGGCACGGCUCUCAAAUGUUAAAAGCAGACCCUUUCCUCAGAAAUGAAUAAGUCUUAUAAAACAUUUUAAAGUGUUUUAGCAAAUGUAAACGUUAUUGUCGAGGCUGUCAGUCAGUCAAAUUAAACUUUCCUGUCAGGUUAUCAUGGUUCACGAGAAACAGAACUACACAUACUGUUGAAAAGUGUAGAAAAAAUGUACUUCAAGGCUUGCAUUUGGUGUGUUUUUCAGUGUAUGUGUGAGUUUUUCUGUGCCUGUGUGUGUGUAUUUUCUGUAGUCACAUGACCCAGCCUACAGUGGUUUGCUUGAAUUCCACCCUGCCCGGGGGCAGAUGUGCUGAGAGGCGCGGUGGUGACACUGCGGAUACACAGUCACACCCAUCUGUUGGUUUGGCAUCAGAAUCACUUGCUUUUACUAAUUACCAAGCGUGACUGCAUCCUGAUUGUUUUGGCUCUAAAUAAACAGAAUCAUCUUCAUAGUUUUGUUCUGUUUAACUUUCAAGCCGGUGAAACGUCAGAGGUGCUGAAAUGUUUCUGCUCAGAGGUGAUGGUAGAUUUUCACCACAGGAUUCAGGAAGGAGACACUGUUACUGCUCAUGUGCUAAUCAGGUCAGAAUCAAACUCAGAUGUACAUGUGUGUCAACCAAGCAGGAAGUGUUGUCAUAGAAACCAUCUCAGAUAGGUCAAGUACAACGGACCCAUUUUCCCCUCAUUUCCUUUAUGUGUGGAAUUUUUUAAAGUGUGAAUCAUUGGCCUGGCUCAUAGUUGGUCUCUCUUUUGUCUUUCAAGCUACAGUGGUUUUCUUCCUUCUACAAAUGUUUGUCAGUCUGAGUGGAGGUGACUGUUGACAGACAAAAAAGUCGGCGUCUCCACCCAAACAUGGAGCACCUAAACUCCAUGUGGGAGGAAAAAAAAUAUGGAAUGCUUUUUUUCUUGCAGCUACAGAGCAUAUCCUGGAGCUAAAUGCUGAUUUUAAUGUAAUGAUUUCACAGACAGAUCAGUUCAUACAGGCUCAGGGUAGGAAUGGUAUUCUUAAUGAUGGCUGUAAAAAGGUUUAUGCUGAAUAUUUUUAAGCUUAGUCCUUACAAGGAGGGAAAAAAUAGGGCAGCAACUUUUUAUAAUCAAGUAAUCUGUCAGUUUCUGUUCAUUGGCUGAAAUUUACAUAAUCAAAGCAGCAGCACAAAUCCCCCAAAUAUCUUCUAUGAUGUAGAAGAAAGAAAAGCAAAGUGGAUGCCUGACAUGUUUGUGGGAUUGAGGAUUUAAACUGUGAUUAUCAAAUAAAUGAAAGGCUGGUUCAUAAUGCCAAGUGAGGUCUGUUCUUAUUCUGUAAAUAUCCUCUGUAAAAGAUUGAAAUAAUGCAGACUAGUCUUGGUGAUGAUGAUGUGUGCACUGACUCUAGGGAUGAAAAGGACCUCUCAGCAAUAAGUCAUGAUGACUGCCUGUAUAUGCAUACACGGUAUGUUGUAACCUGCUAGUGUCUACACAGCACUGGGGGCCUGUGAAAGCAUGUCAGGGUAUGACACAGAAAUCUGAUUAGUGUCAGUCUGUGACUUCACCUGGGCAGAGCUAAAGAGGACAAAAGGAAACUUCUGUGUGUGAAAGAAAACACACUUCUGUUGACUCUUUCAAAAAUGUUUUUUUUGCCCGUGUUCUGCUGUUUGCUUCCUGGAUACUGAAGCUAACAAGUCAGCCCAACAGCUCCAUCUGAAGUCUGCUAGUCUAGGGAAUUUUUGUUGUUUCAGAUAUAAUCCUGGAUUGAAUAAAUCAAGAUUUAAAGUGCUGGUUCAAAAUACUGAACUAUACAACUAAAUUGAGUUUUUAAAUUUAAUAAGUAAAGCAUACCUCAAAUAAAGAUUUCAUUACUGUAUCAUGCAUGAUCAAAAAUCUUUCAUGGCUGCAGCAGCUGCAGAAUUUACAUAAUAAUUCCAUAAAUGAACUUCAUAGUUACAAACCCCUAAAGCUGAGUUUUUUCAGGAGGCCUCAGUGUGCUACUGUCUACAUGUCUCACCCUCCUGUAUUCUGAUUGGAUAGAGCCAAGGAAGCGGAUAAGAUAGGGGUGUUGAGAGUAUAAACUAUGAAACUAUGAUACUACAAAGGUUGAAGUUAUUUAUAGAGACCGAUCUGAGGUUAGAUCAGAGAUUGUCCCUCAAACUGUUAGUAUAUAAGCAAUGAAGCUGACUGCUUGCCAGUUUAAUGUUGAACUCUCAUAGAGUGACAUUGGCAGGUAGAGCAGAAAGAUGUGUUAGUCAAUAAGUCUGAUAUCAAGUUCACUUGAUUCACUCUUAAAGUUUUCCAAUAAUUAGUCAAGUAAAGUCAAAGUUUAUUUAUAAAUCUUAUCCAAGGCAACAGUUUGGCCAAGUGGUAAAAGUAUGCGCUCCUUAUACAGAGGCUACAGUUGCUGGUUGUACCUUUAAAAAUGAAGGGUUGCAACCUCUAGUUACAACCUUUAUUUUUUACAGGCAGCAGUGGUUCAGCCCAAAGGUACUUGGCCUGGUAACUUCAGGGUCAGUGAUCAGGUUCAGAAAUUAGACUGGCAGUUGGAGUGGUGAUAGAUAUUUUCUUUGACACUGUCUUUCAAUGGCUCAGGGUGCUUAUAAAUGUGCAAGCCUCCCCUCUCUGACAGUUCUUUAUUCGUGCAUGUCCAUAAGAUCAUGUGUGGCAUGUUCAACACCAGGGUGUAAAAUUAGAAUCUCCCCUCAGGGACAAAUAAACUGCUGUAUAUCUUUUCCCUGUAAAACAGCUGCAGGUGACCAAAGUGCCGCACAAGCUCAAGACAAAGUGUCAAAUGAAAGAACUAUUUGAAUAAAGUGAACACUAAAAACACAAAAAAUGGCUUAAUAAAAACACAUGAAUCAAGAGGAAAAUAUAUUUGUACAAUUAAGUAUCACAAUUUCAAGCUCAGUUGUACAAUGGAGUAUCAGGGCCACAUUAAGAAAAAAAAUUAAGACUUUGAGAUUAAAGUCGUUAAUUUACGAGAAUGAAGUCUUUACUACCGAGAAUAAAGUCGUAAUAAAAAAAUUACUUAUGAGCAUAGAGUCGUAAUAAAAUCAUUAUGAUACUUAUGAUAAUGUGGUGCUGAUGUGCCAAAAGGUUAAGUAUGUCCUUGUUUGAGAAACCGACAUUGAAGUACAUUUUCACGAAAUGCUCCAUGGCUCUCAUUUCAAAAACGGUCAUCUUAAUCAGCAGGUUAGAAAAUAAGGACUUAAUUCUGAUUUUACCCUCGUAACUGAUUACUUUUCGACGACUUUACUCUUCUAAGUAAUUACUUAACCACAACUUUAUUCUCAUAAGUAAUAAUUUAAAACAACGUUAUUCUUGUAAGUACUUUGUCCCGACUUUUUAAUCUCAAAAUUUUGACUUUUUUUUUCAUUUAAACUGUAACAUUUCAACUUUAAUCUCAAAAUGGAAGUUAAUAAAAUCUUCCUCCUGUAUUUAUUUUUUUCUCCUCUUGUGGCCCUAAUCCUCUUUCAUACAGUUGGAACUGAAAGCCAACAGAAAUAGUUUGUUUCUUUUUUUUUUUUUAGCAGUGAAUUAAUUUGAGAAUAUCCCAAAAUAUGGAGACAAACCCCUGUGUUUGUGUGUGAAUUGUAUCAAAUAUUUUCCAGCCCUAUGUUGGUCAGAGACACUUUUUACUUGUGAAGAAAAACACAGCCUUGCAUCUGCCUUCUCUACAUUUAGCAAUAAUAACAACUCUGGGAGGUGGAGAGAUCAUACAGCAUGUUUUGACAAGUUGAAUGUUUUCAAAGUCAACUGGUCCCAGUCAGAGAUGACAGAGUGAAAAUAAACCAGCAGGUUCAUGACCAGAACCCUGAAAACAGAGCAGUGAAGUGGACAUCAGUGUUGUCUGAAUUAAAGGGGUUUUCCCAACUGUAAUGACUAAAAUGUGUUUUCCUCUUACUGGUGAAGAUAUCACAACUAACUUUUUGGAGAUUUUAAUGAUGAACCUCUUUUACUGGCUUCUAAACAUUACAAAACGAUUUAUUUAUGAUGCAAUUUCAAGAAUGAAGAGAUUUUGCACUCAAACUUUCACAGUUAGCUGAAUAGGAAAAAUUCAUGUUUCAAGUUGAGCCUUUUCCGAGUAAUUCUAUCCAUGUUUUUAUGUGUGUUAAUGUAUGAGUGUAUGUGUUUGUGAAUGUGGAGGCUGUGGGCAGAAAAACAAUUUGAGAAUGAAUAAAGCAGGAGGAGGAAACUAGAGGCUUUUUAUAAACAAGUUAUGACAACAGAGAGUCUAUUUUUAGCCGUGUUUUCACCUUCAAACUGCCACAUGCAGAGACGUCACUGUUGUCCAUCUGCUGUUUGACUUUGUGUCAGCUGAGGAAGGUGGGAGUAGCUGCUGCAAACUCAAACAAACAGAUGUGUUGUGUCAUAUUGCCACCGAAUUAAAGGCCGAUUUUAUCUCAAAGAGCUGAGGAAGAACAGUCCUCCGAGUGAUGGGCACCAGGAGGAUGUUAGUCAUGUUUUGUGGUCUGGUGCUCUGCCUCCUUCGACCAACAAUGACGCUCUGUGUGUUGGAUUUUCAACAUUUUCAGCUUGAAAACUUUGAAAGGCUUAAAUUUAUAAAUAUCAAUGUGCUCAGAGGAACUGUUUGAUAACUGAAGUAGUCUGGACAAUCAUUCUUUGUACUCAAACUAAGUCACUUGCUGCUGUUAAAUGACCUCAAUGAUCUGUGGUGUCUCCUUUCUGCCACAAGGUGGUGCACUUAAACUACAUCCUGUCUAACUUGAUCUGCAGUCUGUUUAAGAGAGGUUGACCUGCUCUUGGAAUAAGUGUGGUUUUCGUCUGCUUUCACAUUUGGUUAUGAAUCUAAGUAAAAAGGCAUAAGCAGUUCUUAUGUUCACUUGAUGCCAAGCUGAAAACAAACUAAAGUGUGUCACCCAUCUCCUAACCUCCUAACACCUUUACAUGUCUCCCUCACACAUGCACCAUCCACCAUCUGUUACUUACGCACUGGGAGGUGGUUCAGAUACACUGUAAACAUGUGUGAAGGGGUUCUAAAGAGGCCUCUCUCUGCAAUAAGUGUGCAAUAAGUCAGUUUCCAGUAGUCGCCAACAGCUCAGAUGGCAUGCGUGUGUAACCAUGCAGGUCAGGUUCCUGUCUGGACUUUUUACUGGAAGGGUGCUAUAGUAACAGACAUAAGCAGAGUCUCAGGUGAACUUCAGUGUGUAGAUGAUCUGCUGUUUGCUGGUAACCAACCUGUAGUAAUAACACUUACAAAGCUGCUGCUAAUAAUAAUAGGCUAGACACUUAUUAAACUCAUUUCCACCUUCCAAUAUGCCUGUUUGGAACAUUCCAUCCAAAGACUGGUUUUGCAUGAUCUGCAGCUAAAACAACACUUGUUUAUCUUACACUGGAAUCGAUGAAAUCUCUUAUUUCAGCACCAUUGAGCGUGUCUGAAAUGCAACUUGUGGGUCUUUGUAGUCACAAAGCAAACUGUAAAUUUUACUUCCACUGAAAUGUCUGAGACUAACAGUUAGCAUUGACGUUAGCUCCCCAUUCUGCAUUUGUCGUUGUUGCUUUUCUAAGACUUCAUGGAACGUCCUGAAAACAUCAAGACUUUGCACUUUGUUCUGGUGCCGUUAUAAUUUAAGAGAGAAACUUUUGGCUGUGAUUGUCCUUCACAAACAAUAGAAUAAUAGCAAGCAACUUUACCAGACACAAAAAAAGAGCAAAGAAGAAAAGUACAAUGGACUUUCCAGUUGAGGGAAAAUUAGAGAGUUCCCGUUGGGUGUGUCCUUGAGAGAGCUGUGUUGGUGCUGCAGGGUUGGCGUGUGUUUUACUAUCGUACCGAGGGGCAAACUCCUGUCUUGAGGGAUGAAGCUAAUGCUGAAAACUGAAGUUCCCCGAGUGCCUGCUGGAGGCUAGCUGCACCUGCUGUGCAGGGAGUGAAUUUUUCUGUUGCAUGUUCGUUCCAAAGUUAUUAAGGUUUCCUGAUUGAUGACUGAUUGGCUAGCACACUGUUACCAUGUGCAAAGAAGCCAAACCUGUGGUAGCUAGGUUGAGUCAGCAUUUCAUAUAUGAUGACCGCCACUGAUUGACUUCAGCACUCUACUUCACAGACAAACAGGUGACCUCACUGACUGUAAUGUUGGGUGGUAUGAACAAAAUCUUAUACCACGUAUGAGUAACUUUAUGUCACGGUAACGGUAAAUUCAAUGAAUGGCUUAAAAAUAACCAUACUGUCACAUUUGUUAAUUUUCCUUUUUAUUAAAAAAAACUCAGAUUCGGCCACAUAUGCAAACAAAAUGCCAGACCAGUCUGGUCUUUGGCAAAAGACUCUGCCAAGCUCUUUUGUAUGAGAGGAGCUGCUGCAGCUUCAGUUUUUGGUGCAGCCGAUGCGCUACGCAUCUUUUGGCUCUCAUAAUAGAGCUUGGCGUGUCUCAUCUUGUGGUGAUGGAAGAGGUUGCUGGUGUUUCCUCCUCCAGCAAUGACAACCACACGACACUCUUGGCAUAGUAUUGUUUUUGAUCAUUGUCGGAUUUUCUAAAUCCGGAGAAUCUCCAGACAACCAAUGUUGCGGCUCGCGCCGUUUUUCGGAAUGAGUUCCUUCUCCUCUUCCUCAUGUUGGGUGGGUUGGCCUGCCUCUAUUUGCUCCGUACUGCCACUAAUCUCCACGUCCGCCAUGACCGCCACCAGUGAAGCUGUUUCUUUUUCGUCUAAACUAUGCCAAGCAGUCUGCUGGACAUGCUGGUGAUUAUUGGUAGCGCACCCAAACCUGAUCAAUCAAACAGAGCGAACAAACUCUGCGCCACAUGCUGGUGAAUACGCGGAAAUGCACCCAAAUGGAUGCGCUCCAGCUUUCCUGUUAGCGAGUGCAGAGAAACUACACACUGACUCAUAGAGAUGCAGCAGACAUCUGCUCGCUCUCUCUCUCUGAUAUAGCAAAAUUUCUACUGGUAGACACUUUUAUACCGUCACACGGUAUAUACCAUCAUACCGCCCAACACUAACAGUUAUAAUAUAGUAUAUGUAUUGUACCAAUAGGACAACAGAACCUGAGGUUAAAUUCUGAGGUUCUGUAUGGGCACACACUAUUUCAGCAUUAUAUGUGUGUAUUGUAACAAUGGCUCCACCAGCCAGCUAACUUUGGCUCAUUCUUUGGCUAUGCUAGCUCAAUAUGUCAGUGUCAUUGAGGGUAGUACUUUGGUGUUACUUUAUAGGAGAAGAAGGAGGUGGGCCAUUCAUAAUUACAUACAGUCAGCGGUUCCAUAUGUGCAUAUUUUCCAUGCUUGCAUGUGACAGUGAAGUGUUGCACGUGAUCACUUGUAGGUCAAAUUAGCUGGAUAGUAAAACUUGCAGGAAUAUUACAGGAGUCAUUGAGUCUAGUUGGAAUGAGAUGAGUGCUUUGAAGUACUCCCACUCACAGGAAGACACACCUUAUGUGAAGACACAAACUCUCGCCUCUUCUGUUAUUUCCUCGAGCAUACAGGAGAUUUCAUAAGGCUGAUGCCCAAAUAUGGGUGCAUCCUGUCUGAGUGGGAGAGAGUCCAACCUGAGCACAGCAAUCAGUCUUUCUGUAUGACAGGUAAAAGAGGAAUAGGAGUGGAUUUGAUUUGUUUAAAGUAAAGAGUUAAAAAAAACUCUGAAUGCUUUCAUGAUGACUGUGUGUGGGGUUGUCCCAGUGGCUUUUAAACUAACUGGGUAAAGUUUUAGAUGCAGCAAUGCAUACAGAUUCCUCUUAAAGGCACGGUUUACAAAUAAAUCAUUCAUAAAGAUUAUAGUGUGUGUGUGUGUGUGUGUGUGUGUGUGUGUGUGUGUGUGUCCCUCUUUGAAGGAUUCCUUCAUUUCUUUGGUGGCCUUCAUGAGCCUAUGUGGAAGUUUGCUGGCAUCCCAAACAAAGAUCAGUGUGUGCUCCCUCGCUGAGGCCAUGUGGGGACACUGGAAAGAGACCCGGCACCUGUGGCAAAGAAGCUUGCAUCCACAAGUGUUGUGUUUUUUGUUUGAGAUGGAGAAUCUGCAUCCCUUUAAGACUGCCUGGGCCCCAAAGUUUUUGUAUGAUCCCUCACUAUGUUUCUCUGUUCAAACGAAGCAGAACCAGGUGUCUGAGACUUUCACAAUCACUGCCUGUCCCUGUGUCUAAAGUCUCUGUGUCUCUUCAGUGAGUGAAAUCAGGUGUUGCAUUCACAGUCUGUCAAAUGGGCUCAUGUUUAAAGAACUCAGGCUUUGUUUGACUAUGAUUUAUAGAUGCAAAUGAAACAAGGCCUCACAUUUUGUUCAGCAUUUCUUCUUCUACAGUGGCUCUUUGUGCAAAUUACCUCUGUGAGCUGUUUUAAACUAACAAUACUCCUCCUGCUCGGGCUUCUGAACUACUUAUCUGAUGUUUUUGUUUUCAUUAAGAGCAAUCAGCGGUCAUAAUGACUCCAUUUGUAAAGUAUGAUCGUAUCUCUGCUUACACAUUCCUGUAUGUAAAACUCAACCACAGCAGACUUUUUGUUCAGAAAUGUCCAAACUCACUGCACAAAGACGACAUGUUUAGGGUUACAUGCUGUUUCUCCUGACAUGCAGUUUCUGAAGUUGUCUGAAAGAGUUCACGGUGCGUUUUCAAAGACAGGAGCCACUGCUUGUUUAAUUAAGGCAGGUGGACUUGGUGACCUCUUGAGCAGGAUGGAGCAUGAAAAGAAAGGAAGUAAGCGGAGAUGAAGGGAGGAUGAGGAGGAGGCAGACAUCAUUUCUCGGGGGGUUCAGGGUGGGCUGCGGAGGAAGUGGCCUCAGUGUGACCUGCAGGGUGAACCUUUUCCUGCGGCCGACAUGCCUUUGAAACUGUUACACGAACAGAGUCGUAGUGGUGGGAGGGAGGAGCGUUCAUUCAUGUGGCUUCUGAUUAAUAGUAAGUCAGACCCCUUUGUGUGUGUGUGUGUGUAGGUUUGUGUGCAAAGAGGAGGUUUGUAAGUCAAUCUGGCUGAGUCUGAGUCGUAUUUAAAGGGGUCACUUCAACUUUCACGCCUUGCUUUCUGAAACAACCUUUAACUGAACCAAUCUGUAGAUUUUCUCCCUUGUUUGAUGAGUUUACAUUUCUAAUCUCUCAGGAUACACCAGAAGUCUAAAACAUCUUAAAAUGAUGCAAGGAUGCAGAAAUUCCACUCAUCCCUCUUUCCCUUCUUUCCUCUCUGAUUCCUGAAAUUUACAGAUGCUAGGAAAACAAAAGUGAAACUACUUCAUAUUGUUACUGUGACUCUGCACUGUUGUCACAUUGAACGCCCAGUCAUGCAACAUCUUAUGAGGCUUAAGGGUGGUUUCCUCUUUUCAGGGGAUUUUCAGGGAUUUUCAUGCAGUGGUCACAUUCUUUCACACAUUUUUGAGGCUUUAAGGGAGCUUUUAAAACUUUGAGAAAACAUCCCCGAUCAUUUGAGUGGCUCUGUCAAGACCAGCAUGACUCCAAAGAUGGCAGUGUGUCUGCCAUAGGUUAAUUUCUCACCCUUACCUCAUCACUUAAGUCUACUGCUGAAUUUUUGUGUACUUUUUGUAAAACAAACCUUCAUGCUCACAGUCUUCUGAUCUGUUCUCCUGAAUCUGUCCCUCUUCUACUGAGCAAUGAAAACCUUAAUCUUGGUCAUAGAGCACUCGAAAAGUCAGCCCUGAUAAUGCUUGCAGGGUUAAAUGUGAGAAUGUGGUCAUAAACCUAACGGUGAAAAUUAGUUUGAAACCAAAAUCAAUUCUUGCACUUUGAUCAGGAAUGUUGUUAAAAUUGAUUUAUCACAAUGACCGUUGCAUUUUUACAACCACCAGCACUGCCAGUGAUAUUUACUUUCUUAGACACUGUAUGAGCUUGUUCCUGAUUUUGGUCCACAUUUGUGAGUAUAUGUGUGUGAGUGCAUUCCUCCUCAUACAGCAUGUCAUGAUACGGUCACAUGCAGUAAUUUAGAGCCUGCUUCAUGUCUGUGCAGAAGUGUUCCUUCUGUUCUCCAGAUAAUUUGCAUCAUUCAGCCCUGAGCUGAACACAAUCAGUGCUAAAGAUAAAGACAGAGUGAGGCCAUGUGACUUUUCUGGAAAUCAUCAUGCAUUCCCAGUAAACUGAAAGCAAGGCUUGGCAUUUUAGUAUCACUAACCAAAUUAUGAAUGUUUCAGAGUGUCCUGUUAUUGUCGGAAAUAAGAUUUUGAGGCUCCUUUUGAACUCUUGAAUUAUCGAAACUCUGUUGAAAGAGUGUCUUUGACCUCUCUUUGUUCUCUGAUCUAUGUAUCUUGAUUUCUUAAGAGAGAUGAGACGUGAAGGGAAAGUACUCUCAUUCAAGAGAGAAAUGAUACCUCCAAAUGU